rnacentral:misc_RNA from 1 species
GCUCCGUCGGUGAACCAGCGGAGGGAUCAUUACCGAGUGCAAACUCAUAACCCUUUGUGAACCUAUAUCUGUUGCUUCGGCGGCUCGCUCUCGGGCGAGCCCGCCGGUAAUAUCAGUAUCUCUGUUUGAACCCGACGAUACUUCUGAGUGUUCUUAGCGAACAGUUAAAACUUUUAACAACGGAUCUCUUGGCUCUA